GCCUGGGUGGCUCAGUCGGUUAAGCGUCUGACUCUUGAUUUCAGCUCAGGUCAUGAUCUCGCAGUUCGUGGGUUUAAGCCCCACAUCAGGCU
rfam:Felis catus isolate Cinnamon breed Abyssinian chromosome C1, whole genome shotgun sequence.